ACACUGCCCCGCAUCACGCUGCAUCUUGCGUGUCGACGCACCUACGCGCUUGCCUGCGGGAGUGCAGAUCUGCAUCAUCGUGCGGGUUUUUCGCGCACUCACGCGCGUAGGUGCGUUUUGUAGAUUCACGCACGGCGGCUUCCAUUUUCAAAUAUACACGUCACGCCCAUUCAAAAUCACGCGCGUCACUGCGGGAUCAGUGUGCCAUACCUUGCGUCUCGCCCCGCACCUACGCGCGGGGGUGCGUGUUUCUCCGCAUGUACGUGCGUGAUCCGCAUGAACGCGCGUGGAUGCAUUUUCAGUGUGUUGGACUAUGCGUGUUUUCCAUACAAACGGAGAUAUUUCCAUACAACGGAAAAAAACGCAUCCACGCACCACGCUGCAUCAUGCGGGGCAGUGUGAUAAUCGCCUAUA
rnacentral:lncRNA from 1 species